GGAGAGGUGGUCGAGUUGGUUUAAGGCACCGCACUCGAAAUGCGGAGUAUCCGAAAGGGUACCCCGGGUUCGAAUCCCGGCCUCUCCG
rnacentral:tRNA from 1 species